CAGCUGAUGCAGCCAUGCCGCGUGUAUGAAGAAGGCCUUCGGGUUGUAAAGUACUUUCAGCGAGGAGGAAGGUGUUGUGGUUAAUAACCACAGCAAUUGACGUUACUCGCAGAAGAAGCACCGGCUAACUCCGUGCCAGCAGCCGCGGUAAUACGGAGGGUGCAAGCGUUAAUCGGAAUUACUGGGCGUAAAGCGCACGCAGGCGGUUUGUUAAGUCAGAUGUGAAAUCCCCGGGCUCAACCUGGGAACUGCAUUUGAAACUGGCAAGCUUGAGUCUCGUAGAGGGGGGUAGAAUUCCAGGUGUAGCGGUGAAAUGCGUAGAGAUCUGGAGGAAUACCGGUGGCGAAGGCGGCCCCCUGGACGAAGACUGACGCUCAGGUGCGAAAGCGUGGGGAGCAAACAGGAUUAGAUAC
rnacentral:rRNA from 1 species